AGGUCAAGUUAGUAAGAGCAAAGGGCGAAUGCCUUGGCACUAGGAGCCGAUGAAGGACGCGAUAAGCUGCGAUAAGCUACGGGAAGCUGCAAAUAAGUGUUGAUCCGUAGAUUUCCGAAUGGGGAAACCCACUUGGGCUAAUACUCAAGUACCCAUAACUGAAUACAUAGGUUAUGGGAGGGAUACCGGGAGAACUGAACCAUCUAAGUACCCCGAGGAAAAGAAAGAAAACUCGAUUCCCCAAGUAGCGGCGAGCGAACGGGGAGGAGCCUAAACCAUAAAACUUUGUUUUAUGGGGUUCGGUUAACACAUCAAAGCGACCGCUGUAUAGCGUAAGGGAUCUGGAAAGAUCCACCAGAGAGGGUAAAAGUCCCGUAGGCGAAAUACAAAAGAAGCGAGUGUUAUACCAAAGUACCACGGAACACGUGAAACUCUGUGGGAACAUGGGAGGACCACCUCCUAAGGCUAAAUACUACCUAGUGACCGAUAGAGAAUAGUACCGUGAGGGAAAGGUGAAAAGAACCCCGGGAGGGGAGUGAAAUAGAACCUGAAACCCUUUGCUUACAAGUUGUGGGAGCCCGUUAAUGGGUGACCGCGUACUUUUUGUAGAACGGGCCAACGAGUUAUGUUGUCAAGCAAGGUUAAGUACUCCAGGUACGGAGCCGAAGGGAAACCGAGUCUGAA
rnacentral:rRNA from 1 species